CUGGACGUGCAAACCGCGCACAACGAAUCUAGACGCACCUACCCGAAACAUAUAUAGAAACGGCCCGCCCCCUUGCCAGAUACACGCUACUCCAAAAUCCUGCAACUGCUUUGGAAAACUGGUGGCCAACGCACGAGCGGCGGCGAGCCCAAUCUCCAUCCUUAUUCCGACUUCACAGCAACCACCGGAGCCGCCGAUCAUGGAGUCCUCGCCGACGUCGUACAAGAAGGCCACGGCGGCGCUGGACGAGGCGGCGAGG
rnacentral:lncRNA from 1 species